UAGAGCGGCGGACGGGUGAGUAACACGUGGACAAUCUGCCCCCCGGCCCGGGAUAGCCCAGGGAAACCUGGAUUAAUACCGGAUGAGACGGGACCCGCGAUGGCGGACCCGGGAAAGGCGCUGCGGCGCCGCCGGGGGAUGAGUCUGCGUCCCAUUAGCUAGACGGCGGGGUAACGGCCCACCGUGGCGACGAUGGGUAGCCGGCCUGAGAGGGUGGACGGCCACAUUGGAACUGAGACACGGUCCAGACUCCUACGGGAGGCAGCAGCUAAGAAUCUUCCGCAAUGGGCGAAAGCCUGACGGAGCGAACCGCCGCGUGAACGAAGAAGGCCGUGAGGUUGUAAAGUUCUUUUCGGGAGGGGGAACAACCGUGGCAGGGAAUGGCCGCGGGAUGACGUGAAUCCCGGAAUAAGCCCCGGCUAACUACGUGCCAGCCGCCGC
rnacentral:rRNA from 1 species